rnacentral:lncRNA from 1 species
AAAUAUUUUUGUAUAUGGGAACAAUAAACUGUUUUACUUGAUAAAGACCAUUUGUUAUGUUUUCAGCAGUUUCCCCCAAAUGAAGCUACUGAACUAUCUUGAGGAGCAACGGUUGAACUGUUCAUUGAGGACAAGCCUGGGGUACCUCACCUGGACUGUGUUACACUUCCUGGAAGGAGCAGCACUGGGUAAAGGAACAACAGGAAAGGCAAUGAUGUGGGCCGUCAAGAAUGUAGACAUCCUGAUUCUGUCUUUCACAGUUGACAAGGAUUGGUGCCAGAUAAUGCAGUAAAACCUCGGCUUGAAAAAUUAAACUUCAAUAUGUUUUGGCCGUAAUAGUCCCAUUAGGAAGCUGUGUCUUAUAUUCACUUUGGUGGGCUGGGAAACAUGACCUUUUUCACAAUUAUUGGAUUAGUAGAAGUAGGUCUAUUAUAGUUAUAAUGUACUUAAAUUGCAACAAGGAGCAUGCCAAGGACUUCUUUUUAAAACACCCUGGUGAACAAAAUGGAGGAAAUAUGAGUUUGAUCAUUGUUCCUUUAGUUGAAUUUUGAAAAUUUAAGUACUAAUUUUAUUGAGCACUUACUAUGUGACAGGUGUUGUAUUGAAGAUUUUAUGUGCAUUAAUCAAUUAAUCUUCAUAAAACCCUACAAACUCUGCAUUACUAACUCCAUCAUCCAGAUGAGGUAACCAUUUGGAAAGGAUGUUAAUUAUUAAUUCUGUUUCCCUGGAGCAGGAAUUCUUCCCAAGUGUGGAAGAGGAGGCCAUACUUGCUACAGGAUUUAUCAGAUUCACUUGGAUAAGAGUUUUUCUUUCAAAGCAUAAAGCGCUUAACCUUCGUUUUAGUUUCCCUCUUAGAAAACCUGCAUCUCAUCACCUUGGAUAUCUCAAAUGUUUUUUAAGCUCUAAUUGAUGUGCACGGGUGGUUGCAAGCUCUGUCAGAUACACUGAGGUGGGAAAAAGGUUGAGCUUUACUACGGCAAAGGGAUGCCCUUGAUGGUAAGCUGUAAGACUCUGUACCUAUUUCUGUCUUGGUUUCAACAUUAUAGUUAAUGUCUUCACUGGAGAUGUAGAAAAGUUUGCCAAUCAAGUGUUAUAAGAGAACUGCAAUGAGAGAGGAAGUAAUACGCUGGAUGAAAGAAUCAGGACUCUAAGAAGAAUUCACUAGACUACAAAGAUGGCCCAUAAACAACAAAAUAAACUUAAUAAAAGUAAGUGUGGCCUCCAGUACUAGUUUCACAAAAUAAACAAAAAUUUUAAAACCAGUAACUCUACAGGUUGGAUACAUGUUUAAUGUGGUUGCCAAAAAUGUUAGUGGGAAUUUAGGUUGCAACAAUAACUGUAUAGAGUCUAGAAUACAGGAGGUGAUUAUUGUACUUUUUUCUGAGUUUAUAGAUGCCACACCUCAAUCAAGUCCUCUGCUCUGUUAUGGCAGUUGUCUUAAAAAAGACAAAACAGAAUUUAGAAAGCAAACUCUAGUCUAGAGGGUGAAAUGGGGUAUGAUUGCUGUCUUCCAGUAUCUUUCAGUUUGUCAUGAGAAAGGGUGGUAUCUGUAUGUUUUGACCCUUUGGAACAAAAUUAGGAUUACUGGAUGGAAGUUACAGCAGAGCUGACUCAAGGUGAAAUGGGAGUGUGGGAAGGGAAUGAGCUCCAUGUUAUGGGAAGCAUCUAAGCAGAAGCUGGAUGACUACGUAUUAGUGACUUGAACUUGCUAUCUGACCUCAGUUCUGCAGAAUGAGAAUCACCGUAGGCAUUUCUUGUGUAUUUGUUGAUCAGAA